rnacentral:rRNA from 1 species
UACGAAGGGUGCAAACGUUGCUCGGAAUUAUUGGGCGUAAAGGGUGCGUAGGCGGUUUGGUAAGUCUUGUGUGAAAUCUUCGGGCUUAACUCGAAGUCUGCACUGGAAACUGCCGGGCUUGAGUGUGGGAGAGGUGAGUGGAAUUCCCGGUGUAGCGGUGAAAUGCGUAGAUAUCAGGAGGAACACCUGCGGUGUAGACGGCUUUCUGGACCAUUGCUGACGCUGAGACACGAAAGCGUGGGUAGCAAACAGG